UAUAUAUACAUAUACAAACACACAUAUAUAUAUUUAUACACACUCACACACAGAGAUGACAAGGGGUAUGAUUUGAAAUUAUGAUAACUGUUUUAAUUAAUGGAAAUUACACUUGUUCAAUGUUCACAAUUUAGAAAACAAAAAGGAAAAAAAACAACAAAUCUGUCCUUGCUAUGAUAGAACCGGUGGAGCAUCAAACUACAUACCUUGUACUUGGUUACGUCCCUUUACAUUCUGAGUUCAAAUCCCACCCAGGUGCACUUAACCUUGUAACCUUCUAAGGUCAAUAACAAUAAGUACUGCACUGAUGUCAAUAACUUUUCUUUAAAUUGUAGUGCUCAGCAUGGCCACAACUCCAGUGAGGGAAAGGUAGUGAAAAAUUGGAUGGAUAUAGGUUCUUGGUUCAAUCCCCAGAGUAGUAGAUUCCUGUGAAUAUUAAAAUGCAUAACAGUUUGUUUGUUUGUUUGUUUAAAGAGUAAGGUAAUGAAAUUUUGUAAUUGAAACAUAAAGACAUUAUGCCACAAAUUUACUGGUUCAAUCCCCAGGAAAAAUAAUUAAAACAUGAUACAUUCAAAUUUAUGAGUUCAGUUCCCAGGUUAGUGUGAAUUCCUGUGAUUAAACUGCAAGACAUGGUGCAUCAGCUUUAUCAAUUAAAUUCCAAGAGCACCGAAAGUCUGUGACAGAAACAUAAGACAUGACAGAAGUUUAUGAGUUCAAUACCUAGGAAAGCAAUUAAAACAGAGUGCAUUAAGGUUUAUGUGUUCAGUUCCAAGGAUAAUGAAAUUUUGUGAGAAAAAAAAAACCAAGUUGAUGGAUUAAGUUUACAAGUUCAGUACCCAGUAUAGACGUAAACAUCGGGUUUACAAGUUCAAUACCCUGGACAGUCAAAUGUUGUUAUUAAAACACAAAAUAUACUGCAUCAAGCUUUUAAGAUUUAUCUCCCAAAUAAUGAAUUUUGCUGAGUAAAACAAAAGAUAUGAUGCCUUAAGUUUACAAGUUCAAUUCCAAGGAUAGUCAAAUUCUAUUAUUAAAACAUAAGAAAUAAUUCAUGAGCUUUACAAGUUCAAUCCCUGAGAUGGUCGAAAUUUUUUGAUUGAUAUGCAAGCCAUGAUGCAGUAAAUUUUAUCUGUUCAAUUCCCAGGAUAGUGAAAUUACUACAAAACACGAUAUUAAUCACCUUUAACCUUUCAGCAUUCAAAUUACACUGUCAAACAUAAUGCUUACUCAUUGAUAUUAUUUUUAAUUAAUCCUGCAUUUGAGAUUGCAAUGAUUGUUUGUUUUUAGAAUGACAUUGCAGGGAAGGUGUGAGAGGCUGGAUCUGGCCAGUUUGAACAUAAAACAGGUAGAAUAUCUGAGCAGGCUAUACCUAUUUAUUCACAUUAUUUGAAUUAAUUAGGCAUUAUCUAUCUCAUAACUUCGAUAUUGCAAUGAUGUGAUUGUUUGUUUUUAGAAUGACAUUGCAGGGAAGGUGUGAGAGGCUGGAUCUGGCCAGUUUGAACAUAAAACUGGUAGAAUAUCUGAGCAGGCUAUACCUAUUUAUUCACAUUGUUUUGAAUUAAUCAGGCAUUAUCUAUCUCAUAACUUCGAUAUUGCAAUGAUGUGAUUGUUUAUUUUUAAAAUGACAUUGCAGGGAAAGUGUGAGAGGCUGGAUCUGACCAGUUUGAACAUAAAACUGGUAGAAUAUCUGAGCCAGAUUUCUGCAGCUCAAAUGCCAGAGAGUUAAAGCCACAAAAAUUGUCAAGAAUACAUUUAGUAAUUCAUAUUUAGUUGUUGGUUGGUUUUAUUUUGAUUAUAUUUUGUUGUUGUUUUUACAAGAGUUAUCAUUAUUAUUAUAUUAUUAUUAUUAUUAUUAUUAUUAUUAUUAUUACUAACAUUAUUAUUAUUAUUAUCAUUAUUGUUGUUGUUGUUGUUUUGUUUGUUUCUUCGAGGUAGCUAUUGAAGUGCCAAGUUUUUAUUAUUAUUAUUAUUAUUACUAUUAUUAUUAUUGUAUUAUAAAAUAUCAAAUUACAAUACAACACAUUGUAACAUAAUUUUGUAUUAAAUUAUGAAGAUAUUCAAUUCAAAAAUUAUUUUUGAAAAAUUG